rnacentral:rRNA from 1 species
CGGGGGGGGCAAGCGUUGUUCGGAAUUACUGGGCGUAAAGGGCUCGUAGGUGGCCAACUAAGUCAGACGUGAAAUCCCUCGGCUUAACCGGGGAACUGCAUCUGAUACUGGAUGGCUUGAGUUUGGGAGAGGGACGCGGAAUUCCAGGUGUAGCGGUGAAAUGCGUAGAUAUCUGGAGGAACACCGGUGGCGAAGGCGGCGUCCUGGACCAUCACUGACACUGAUGAGCGAAAGCCAGGGGAGCAAACGGGAUUAGAUACCCCGGUAGUCCUGGCCCUAAACGAUGAAUGCUUGGUGUGGCGGGUAUCGAUCCCUGCCGUGCCGAAGCUAACGCAUUAAGCAUUCCGCCUGGGGAGUACGGUCGCAAGGCUG